rnacentral:rRNA from 1 species
AGAGUUUGAUCAUGGCUCAGGACGAACGCUGGCGGCGUGCUUAACACAUGCAAGUCGAGCGGUAAGGCCCUUUCGGGGGUACACGAGCGGCGAACGGGUGAGUAACACGUGGGUGACCUGCCUUCAGCUCUGGGAUAAGCCUGGGAAACUGGGUCUAAUACCGGAUAUGACUCCAUGAUGCAUGUUGUGGGGUGGAAAGCGUUUUAGCGGCUGGGGAUGGGCCCGCGGCCUAUCAGCUUGUUGGUGGGGUGAUGGCCUACCAAGGCGACGACGGGUAGCCGGCCUGAGAGGGCGACCGGCCACACUGGGACUGAGACACGGCCCAGACUCCUACGGGAGGCAGCAGUGGGGAAUUGUUCACAAUGGGCGCAAGCCUGAUGACGCAACGCCGCGUGGAGGAUGAAGGUCUUCGGAUUGUAAACUCCUGUUGCCCGGGACGAAAAGCUCUGACCUAACACGUCGGAGUCUGACGGUACCGGGUGAGGAAGCCCCGGCUAACUCUGUGCCAGCAGCGGCGGUAAUUC